GGGCCCGUAGCUCAGUAGGUCAGAGCAGCGGACUCAUAAUCCGCGGGUCGCUGGUUCGAGCCCAGCCGGGCCCA
rnacentral:tRNA from 1 species